rnacentral:rRNA from 1 species
UACGGAGGGUGCAAGCAUUAAUCGGAUUUAUUGGGCGUAAAGAGGGCGUAGGCGGAGAUGUAAGUCAGAUGUGAAAGCCCGGGGCUCAACCCCGGAACGGCAUUUGAAACUGCAUCCCUAGAGGGUAGACGGAGAAAACGGAAUUCCACAUGUAGCGGUGAAAUGCGUAGAUAUGUGGAAGAACACCGGUGGCGAAGGCGGUUUUCUAGUUUAUUCCUGACGCUGAGGCCCGAAAGCAAGGGGAGCAAACAGG